rnacentral:rRNA from 1 species
GCGUAGCAAUACGUCAGCGGCAGACGGGUGAGUAACGCGUGGGAACGUACCUUUUGGUUCGGAACAACACAGGGAAACUUGUGCUAAUACCGGAUAAGCCCUUACGGGGAAAGAUUUAUCGCCGAAAGAUCGGCCCGCGUCUGAUUAGCUAGUUGGUGAGGUAAUGGCUCACCAAGGCGACGAUCAGUAGCUGGUCUGAGAGGAUGAUCAGCCACAUUGGGACUGAGACACGGCCCAAACUCCUACGGGAGGCAGCAGUGGGGAAUAUUGGACAAUGGGGGCAACCCUGAUCCAGCCAUGCCGCGUGAGUGAUGAAGGCCCUAGGGUUGUAAAGCUCUUUUGUGCGGGAAGAUAAUGACGGUACCGCAAGAAUAAGCCCCGGCUAACUUCGUGCCAGCAGCCGCGGUAAUACGAAGGGGGCUAGCGUUGCUCGGAAUCACUGGGCGUAAAGGGUGCGUAGGCGGGUCUUUAAGUCAGGGGUGAAAUCCUGGAGCUCAACUCCAGAACUGCCUUUGAUACUGAGGAUCUUGAGUUCGGGAGAGGUGAGUGGAACUGCGAGUGUAGAGGUGAAAUUCGUAGAUAUUCGCAAGAACACCAGUGGCGAAGGCGGCUCACUGGCCCGAUACUGACGCUGAGC